UACAGAGGGGGCAAGCGUUGUUCGGAAUUACUGGGCGUAAAGGGCGCGUAGGCGGCCAACUAAGUCGGAUGUGAAAUCCCCAGGCUUAACCUGGGAAUUGCAUCCGAUACUGGAUGGCUUGAAUCCGGGAGAGGGAUGCGGAAUUCCAGGUGUAGCGGUGAAGUGCGUAGAUAUCUGGAGGAACACCGGUGGCGAAGGCGGCAUCCUGGACCGGCAUUGACGCUGAGGAGCGAAAGCCAGGGGAGCAAACGGG
rnacentral:rRNA from 1 species